CCGUUGGCGGCGGCCUAACACAUGCAAGUCGAGCGGUAGCACAGAGAGCUUGCUCUCGGGUGACGAGCGGCGGACGGGUGAGUAAUGUCUGGGAAACUGCCUGAUGGAGGGGGAUAACUACUGGAAACGGUAGCUAAUACCGCAUAAUGUCGCAAGACCAAAGUGGGGGACCUUCGGGCCUCAUGCCAUCAGAUGUGCCCAGAUGGGAUUAGCUAGUAGGUGGGGUAACGGCUCACCUAGGCGACGAUCCCUAGCUGGUCUGAGAGGAUGACCAGCCACACUGGAACUGAGACACGGUCCAGACUCCUACGGGAGGCAGCAGUGGGGAAUAUUGCACAAUGGGCGCAAGCCUGAUGCAGCCAUGCCGCGUGUGUGAAGAAGGCCUUCGGGUUGUAAAGCACUUUCAGCGGGGAGGAAGGCGUUAAGGUUAAUAACCUUGUCGAUUGACGUUACCCGCAGAAGAAGCACCGGCUAACUCCGUGCCAGCAGCCGCGGUAAUACGGAGGGUGCAAGCGUUAAUCGGAAUUACUGGGCGUAAAGCGCACGCAGGCGGUCUGUCAAGUCGGAUGUGAAAUCCCCGGGCUCAACCUGGGAACUGCAUUCGAAACUGGCAGGCUAGAGUCUUGUAGAGGGGGGUAGAAUUCCAGGUGUAGCGGUGAAAUGCGUAGAGAUCUGGAGGAAUACCGGUGGCGAAGGCGGCCCCCUGGACAAAGACUGACGCUCAGGUGCGAAAGCGUGGGGAGCAAACAGGAUUAGAUAUCGUGUGAAAAAACUACACACAAAA
rnacentral:rRNA from 1 species